AAGUCGUAACAAGGUAACCGUAGGUGAACCUGCGGUUGGAUCAUUACCGAAUAAUUUUAUGGUGAGAAACUCGAAAGAGGGACUCCCAUAAAACCAACACUUUGUGCAAUUAUGAUGUUUUUUGGGUCUUCCUUGGGAGGCCCAGCAUUUUUAACAAACCAUAUCAAUUUGACUUAUAUCUCUAUGAAAAUAGAAACAACUUUUGACAACGGAUCUCUUGGCUCUC
rnacentral:misc_RNA from 1 species